rnacentral:lncRNA from 1 species
UUUACCUGCUUAUUAUUUUUUUUCCCUUUUGGUCUUGUCAUAGCUGGAAGGUAUCAUCCUAAAACAUUUUGUGAGAAUGAGAAUUAUUGGUAUUUACUCUCUCCAUGUCAUAUGUAUUUAUAUUCUGGUCUUGUGACAUUCACACAACCUCCAAUUUAUUUGUUUUCUUCUUUUUGUUGUCAACAGAGCUGCUUGACAGGGUUGUCUGGGGAAUACAACCUUACCCUGUCAAAUGCCUUUCAAUGUUUUUCUUCUCCUUCCUUACCCCCGUUUCAUCGUGUACCUGCAAUGGGACUCUAUUUCUGAUAUUAGAAAACCACCCAAUGGAACUGAUAAAAAUGAGUUGGAACUUGUGACCAGCAGCUGGAUGAGAGGAGUGUGAAUCCCCCAAAUCUUAUGGAUAUAGUGUGCUUUCUUUGAUGUUCCUGCCAAAGUGAGGCUGGAAAGCUAGGAAGAUCUGUAAGACGUGUGCCAGCACAAAGUGACUACAAUUCAAAAGUUCCAAAAACCUUGCUUGAAACAAUUGCAAAUAGCUCAUCAUUUUAAACCAGUGAACCCAAGGCUGAGUGUUUCAUCAAUUUACAGAAAACCAAGAAGAGAAAUCUGACAGCUAUCCCAGUGUAUGACUUACCAUGGAGAUCUUCAAAUAGAAUCACUUUGGUUUGGGUCUCAUUUUCAUAUUAUAACACAAAUUUGUGUAUGUGGGUUAAGAUUCAUAUUUGAUAGGAACUGCUGGGAAUUCUUGCAGUUAUAUCCUCAAAAGACAAAAUAAGCAUAACCAACAGAAUUGUGAAGCAAUAAAGUUGAUUAUGGAUGAAAACUGGGCUGAACAGUCAUAGGACAUGACUUGUUCCUUUGACCUAAAAUGUGCUUUUCUUUCCUUAUCUACCCAGUGUAAUGGUACUACUCUUUCAACCAUCUUGAAUUCACUCACACUUAUUCGUCAAAUCCUGCUCAGCUAUUCCCACUACCCACAAAGUGUACCUUUUUCGUAUUCCUUACUUUUUAUACAUUAGCUCAUUUUCCCCCAAACAAUGCAAUAAAGUAAAAAAUAUUACUCUAUUUUAUAGAAACUUGCAGCUCAGAAAGGAUAAGAAACUUGCAAGUUGAUCCAAAAUAAAUUUCUAAAAAGCA